rnacentral:rRNA from 1 species
GACGAACGCUGGCGGCGUGCUUAACACAUGCAAGUCGAACGGUAAGGCCCUUCGGGGUACACGAGUGGCGAACGGGCGAGUAACACGUGGGUGAUCUGCCCUGCACUUCGGGAUAAGCCUGGGAAACUGGGUCUAAUACCGGAUAGGACCACUGCCUGCAUGGGUGGUGGUGGAAAGCUUUUGCGGUGUGGGAUGGGCCCGCGGCCUAUCAGCUUGUUGGUGGGGUGAUGGCCUACCAAGGCGACGACGGGUAGCCGGCCUGGGAGGGUGACCGGACACACUGGGAGUGAGAUACGGCCCAGACUCCUACGGGAGGCAGCAGUGGGGAAUAUUGCACAAUGGGCGCAAGCCUGAUGCAGCGACGCCGCGUGAGGGAUGACGGCCUUCGGGUUGUAAACCUCUUUCAGCACCGACGAAGCGCAAGUGACGGUAGGUGCAGAAGAAGGACCGGCCAACUACGUGCCAGCCGCCGCCGUAA